rnacentral:misc_RNA from 1 species
GUAGAACAUCAAUAUAGCAUCUCUUUUAUGCAUAUGUAAGUAUUCUUAACUUUCUUUUCAUUUUUGGAAUGAAAUUAUUUUGAGGGCAAAUCAUAAACUCUGUACAUGUUCUUCAUGACAUACUACUACUGCCUACCUUAUAAGUCAUAGUAAGGUAGGUUUUCUAGUCCUAAAAUUAUUUCUUCCAUAUUUUACACUCCAAAUUGUGCAACUGUCAUAUUUAAUGUACCUUGAUUUGAUUUAAAGAUUUUGAGAUAUGAUUUUUUAAGUUUUGGUAUCUGAUUCUAUGUGUUUUUGCAUGAACCCGAAAUUUGAA